AAGAAUCUGGAGAUAGUGAAAUGCAUAAGCACCGAUAUUAAAGAAGUUGGUCAUGAUGCCGAAAUAAUCCUUCUAGGGGACAUGAACGCUCACAUUUAUGACCUUGACGGAUAUUCAGACACCAAUGGCAAGUUAUUGCUAGAUCUCUGCGAGCAACAUAGUCUUGAGAUAGUUAACGUGGGGCCUAAGUGUGAGGGGCAGAUCACGUGGGAAGUCGGAAACAGGUAAUCGAGCAUUGAUUAUUGUCUCAUGACAAGGAAUAUAUGACAAACUUAGAGAGAUGAGAAUAGACGAGGAAGGCAUUAACAGCUUGGGCAGUGAUCAUAAACGAAUAACAUUACAAAUGGGCUACAAAACUGAAAAUAAGAGCAUGGAAUCAAAGUCUGGCAGCUCGUAUUUAAAUGACAAACAAAUAAUAAAUAUAGCCGCAAGAGUCGAGGAAGAAGUAGGCAAAACACCAGGCAAGGACUGGGAGUAUUGUGAGCUGUUACAUCUAAUGACGAAG